UAUGUGAUCGUCUCUCGCAUAUCAAUAAGCGGAGGAAAAGAAACUAACAAGGAUUCCCCUAGUAACGGCGAGUGAAGCGGGAAGAGCUCAAAUUUGAAAUCUUAAAGGGUUUCCCUUUACGAAUUGUAGUUUAAAGAAGUGUUUUCUAGUUGAGGUUUUGGUAAAAGUUCUUUGGAAUAGGACACCAUAGAGGGUGAGGAAUCCCAUAUUUGACCUUUACUUUCAACUUUGUGAUACACUUUCAAAGAGUCGGAUUGUUUGGGAAUGCAGUCCAAAGUGGGUGGUAAAUUUCAUCUAAAGCUAAAUAUUGGCGAGAGACCGAUAGCGAACAAGUACCGUGAGGGAAAGAUGAAAAGAACUUUGAAAAGAGAGUUAAACAGUACGUGAAAUUGUCAAAAGGGAAGCGUUUGACACCAGUGUUGUUUUUCUGAAAAUCAAUUAAAGAACUGUUUAUGCUAAGCUGUUUAGACUUUAUCAGCUAACUGUUUAGUUUUGAGCUUUUCUUUAAUGCACUUUUCAGUUAACAAGUCAACAUCAAUUUCUUUUGCUGUAAAAAAGCUUGAGGAAGGUGGCUUGAGAUUCGUCUUAAGUGUUUAUAGCCUCUUGCCUAUGCAGUCGGAGAGAUUGAGGUCUGCAGCGUAGAUCCUUCGGGGCUAAAUGCAUUUGUGCUAAGUUAUAGCAUUUUAUAGACAACUUGUUGACUAUGAUUUGUCUUGUAGCUUACUCGCUUAUGUUAUUUUACCUACGCUUAGGAUGUUGAACGCGCACAGAGUCUC
rnacentral:rRNA from 1 species